CUAGCACCAUACUCCAUUGAUCACUUUCACCUUGGAUGACUGUAAAAUCCUGAAACUACUGUCUCCAUUUUCCAAGCAUUGUGAUUACAGGCCUGUGCCACCAUAUCUGGUUGAGUGCCCCGGCCUGCAGUGGUUCAGAGGAGACCUGAGAGGGGGCGAAAGAAUGGAGGACAGGAGGCACAAGGAAGGAGAGCAAGUCUGUGUUCUGAUCAAGCUCUCAAACUUUAAUGAACAAAAACAGCAGCUUAUAAAGACAAGCAGGUAUGGACUGAUAAGAACAGAUGCUGGAGACAGAAGCUGUGAAAGUGAUAAGAAAGGACAUCUGGCUUCUAUGUCCCAGAGGGUGUCAGUGGGCUUGACCUUCCUGAAACAUUCCUGAGAGAGAGGGAAGCACAACUCACAUCAGAGGUCACCUGACAUGCAUUGUGGGCUCCCACUGCUGCCAAAUGAGUCCAGAAAACACUCAGAUUCUAUUAGGGAAUGUCAAUAAAAUAAGGAAUCAAGGUGGAUAUAUUUCACAAUACACUAUUCAACUUGCAGGAGGGUGAACUAUCACAUUCACAGGAGAACUGUUCUAAGAAGAUUCCAAUUAAAAAGAAAUUAAGAUACAAAA